rnacentral:rRNA from 1 species
UAGGGAAUCUUCGGCAAUGGACGAAAGUCUGACCGAGCAACGCCGCGUGAGUGAAGAAGGUUUUCGGAUCGUAAAACUCUGUUGUUAGAGAAGAACAAGGACGUUAGUAACUGAACGUCCCCUGACGUUAUCUAACCAGAAAGCCACGGCUAACUACGUGCCAGCAGCCGCGGUAUUACGUAGGUGGCAAGCGUUGUCCUGAUUUAUUGGGCGUAAAGCGAGUGCAGGCGGUUUCUUAAGUCUGAUGUGAAAGCCCCCGACUCAACCGGGGAGGGUCAUUAGAAACUGGGAGACUUGAGUGCAGAAGAGGGGAGUGGAAUUCCAUGUGUAGCGGUGAAAUGCGUAGAUAUAUGGAGGAACACCAGUGGCGAAGGCGGCUCUCUGGUCUGUAAAUGACGCUGAGGCACGAAAGCGUGGGGAGCAAACAGG